GAGAGGACAUCCUCUUGGGGUAAAAGGAGCAAUCCGGUUUGGGGUGAGCUCGCGUCCGAUUAGGUAGUUGGUGAGGUAACGGCCCACCAAGCCUGCGAUCGGUAGCCGACCUGAGAGGGUGAUCGGCCACAUUGGAACUGAGACACGGUCCAAACUCCUACGGGAGGCAGCAGUGGGGAAUAUUGGGCAAUGGGCGAAAGCCUGACCCAGCAACGCCGCGUGAGUGAAGAAGGCUUUUGGGUUGUAAAGCUCUGUCCUAGGGGACGAAGGAAGUGACGGUACCCUGGGAGGAAGCCCCGGCUAACUACGUGCCAGCAGCCGCGGUAAUACGUAGGGGGCGAGCGUUGUCCGGAAUGACUGGGCGUAAAGGGCGUGUAGGCGGCCGAUUAAGUAUGGAGUGAAAGUCCUGCUUUCAAGGUGGGAAUUGCUUUGUAGACUGGUUGGCUUGAGUGCGGAAGAGGUAAGUGGAAUUCCCAGUGUAGCGGUGAAAUGCGUAGAGAUUGGGAGGAACACCAGUGGCGAAGGCGACUUACUGGGCCGUAACUGACGCUGAGGCGCGAAAGCGUGGGGAGCGAACAGGAUUAGAUACCCUGGUAGUCCACGCUGUAAACGAUGAAUGCUAGGUGUUGCGGGUAUCGACCCCUGCAGGCCCGGAGUAAACGCAAUAAGCAUUCCGCCUGGGGAGUACGGCCGCAAGGUUGAAACUCAAAGGAAUUGACGGGGACCCGCACAAGCGGUGGAGCAUGUGGUUUAAUUCGAAGCAACGCGAAGAACCUUACCAGGCCUUGACAUCCCGAUGACGAACCGGUAAUGCGGUUUUCUCUUCGGAGCAUUGGAGACAGGUGGUGCAUGGUUGUCGUCAGCUCGUGUCGUGAGAUGUUGGGUCAAGUCCCGCAACGAGCGCAACCCUUGCCGUCAGUAGCCAGCGCGUUAAGGUGGGCACUCUGAUGGGACCGCCGGGGACAACCCGGAGGAAGAUGGGGAUGACGUCAAAUCAUCAUGCCCCUUAUAUCUUGGGCUACACACGUACUACAAUGGCGCAAACAAAGGGAAGCAAAACCGCGAGGUAGAGCAAAUCCCAUAAAAGGCGCCCCAGUUCAGACUGUAGGCUGCAACUCGCCUACACGAAGUUGGAAUUGCUAGUAAUCGCGAAUCAGCAUGUCGCGGUGAAUACGUUCCCGGGCUUUGCACUCAAAGCCCGUCA
rnacentral:rRNA from 1 species